ACACUAUUUCAGUUUGCCUCUUUCACUGUUAGUGUUUAAAGUGUUGAGAUUUUAGCUUCUUCGUUGAUGAUACUUUUAUUAGGAUAUGUUCUCAUUAUCUUUUGUUAUUUGUUGUAGAUCAACGUUUUUUUGGAAGGGAAUAAGAUGUACCUUUUUCAUCUGGGCUCUAGCUUCCUCUUCAUUGUGAGUUUAAUCUUAAUAUUUUGUCCAUGAAUUUGGUGAUUGCAGGCAUGACACGUGUGGUCUUUAGUAUGGAUAUUAUGGAGGAGCAGCUUACUACAUGAUGAUUUUUGUUGCAAGAAUAAGGUUGGCCUUUUUCUUCAUUCUCUUUUUUUUUUUACUUAUAUUUGAUUUUUUGUGUGUUUUCUCUCAUUGUUUUUUUGUUCAGAUGUAUUUAAUUUCAUAAUAUAACUAUGAUUAUAUUUGGAUUUUGGAGUUUUUAUGAAGUUUUGAUCUUUCUGAUAUGUGAACCUCAAAAUACAUGAAGAUUGUUCAUUUUGGACUUUUGCUACUCUCAUCACUUUUUAUGACCAUUUUAUUUAGAUUUUAUUGAUUCCUGAUUUAUUUAUUGUUGUUGUAGGCUGGUUAAAAGAAUUUGUUUGGAUCCUCCAAUUAUUGAGGAAUUUUGUUCUCAAUGUCCUUAUUUCACUCCACAAAGGUUGGUCCCUAUAGUUUUCAAUGUAGAAUGUUAUUAUGGUUUUCAUUUUAGGUUAGUUAUGUGCAUGUAGUUUAUAUGUUUUAUAAUGUCAGGUCAUUGGUUCUUAAUCGUAUUUUUCUUUUUUGACAAUCUCUCAUGCUACUAUUGAUUUGGACUCUGAUAGUUUAUCUGAUGAGCCUGAUGUGAUGAUGAUUGACAGGUUUUGCAUAAAUUGGGACUAGUUUUGCAUGCUGCCAAUUGCGCGGGCACGUCACACCCUUCGUGGGGCGCUCGAGGCAGCAGCCUUUAGCUCACUUUGUGUAGCAUUUUUUCCGAUUUUAGAUAGUAUGAUACUACCCGAAUGUAUGUUAAUUUAUAUAUAUGAAUAAGUUGAUCAUGUAUACGUAAUGGAUUUGAGCCAUGUAUGUAUAAGUAAAUAUAUAUUUACAUAUUGUAGGUGUUCGAUGAUCCCACGUCAUUAACAGAGGAGGAGCUGUAUGAAUUGCGAAACAGCUGGGCAACUUGUUUUCUUGACCUAUAUAAUCCUGAGGUAGAUUAUGAUGUUGCCGAUGAUGAGGCGUAGGAGCUAGCUAGGUUAAUUUGUGUGAUGUUACAAUGGAUUCAUAUUAAUUAUGAUGUUUUGAAUUGUAAUGACAUUUGGUAUUUUGCUUGAAUGUAGAAUUGUAUGGCAUUUUGGAUGAAUAUUGAAUUGUAUGACAUUUGGUAUUUUGGAUGAAUGUUGAAUUUUAAUGACAUUUGAUU
rnacentral:lncRNA from 1 species